rnacentral:rRNA from 1 species
GAUCCUGGCUCAGGACGAACGCUGGCGGCAUGCUUAACACAUGCAAGUCGAACGGACUGAUUCCCUUCGGGGAUGAAAGUUAGUGGCGAACGGGUGAGUAAUGUAUGAGCAACCUGCCUCUGUCAACGGGAUAACAGUUGGAAACGACUGAUAAUACGGUAUAUGACCACGGCACCGCAUGGUGCUGCGGUAAAAGAAUUUUAUUCGGACAGAGAUGGGCUCAUAUCCCAUUAGGUAG